GUACUGUCAGCUGAUGAUCCUUUGAUUCUCCAGUGUCCUUCAUCGUAAUGUUUUGCGGGACGUUUUCACGGCUAUUUGUCAGCUAAACCGCGCGUCGCGUGAAGAGAGCACAGCAGACGCCGCGCGGUCAUGAUUCAUGCAACAAUUCACCUGCGCUUCUCUCUCUCUCUCUAGUAAUUUUAAAACACGCUGAACGGUAGAAACGGCGGGUCGCGAGUCGUUUACUUAAACCGCCCGUGAAGUCCGUCAGGUCCAUGUUCUGAGGAUGUGAAUGUUUUGCGGGACGUUUUCACGGCUAUUUGUCAGCUAAACCGCGCGUCGCGUGAAGAGAGCACAGCAGACGCCGCGCGGUCAUGAUUCAUGCAACAAUUCACCUGCGCUUCUCUCUCUCUCUCUAGAUUUUAAAACACGCUGAACGGUGAAACGCGGGUCGCGAGCGUUUCUUAAACGCCCGUGAAGUCCGUCAGGUCCAUGUUCUGAGGAUGUGUGUUUCUCCACCCACAGUAAACCGUGCGUGAGUGAGUGUUGUGUUUGUGAUGUCCCUAGAGAUGAGCAGUAGUGCAGUGCGCACUGAGAGGCGUCAUUCACCCGCUGAUGCUGCUUCACUCAGGUGGACAGACAUUCUGAGGCAGCAGCGAAACCUGCUGGUCAGGAAUUGUACUACAGCUUUCUUCGAUUCAAAACUACCUGACCAUCUAUAGAAGCCGAGAAGAUGUCUGUGCCUGUCUUCGACUGCAGCCAGAUGACUUUGUAGCUGGCUGCAUUUAUGAGUGUCUCAAUAUGCUGAUAAUGGGUUAAAUAACAAGGUGGUUAUGCAUAAUUUUACAAAAAAACUCAAGGCUAUUCAUGUGCAUUUACACAAAUACAUUUACAGAUGUCAUUCCGAAGUACAUACUCAUUUCAUUUUUGCGUUCAGUACCAUAGACUAUUAGUCUAGCCAUUAGAAUUUUGAAAUCUGUUUUAUCUAGCAAAUGCUAUUACGACAAGGUCAAAGGUACUUUUUUUCCAUUAACCAUAUUUUAUUAAGAACUAAAAAGCGACUGAGGCCAAUCUAAUUACAC
rnacentral:lncRNA from 1 species